AGUCCAACUCAACAAUGAGUCGUCACUGCAGGAGGCGGGUUAUUACAGCGAGGAAGGAUGUCAAACUGUGCAAUGCAAGGAGGUCUGGUCUUUCGGAGGAGGACAGGAAGAGGCCAGGAUCACCUUCUGAGAGACCAAGUACAUGAAGCAGGGGCGCCGUAACUGACAGGGGGCCCAAACUAUUUUAGAACAUUAAGAAAAAAAUGUUUAAGUAACCAAUGUGAUAUUUCAUGGGGCCCAAAAUCCCUGGCGGCGCCCCUGACUACAAGUAUAUGGGCAACCACAAAUUAAUGGGAGACCACGAGUUGAUGGUUGACCAGCAGUCAGUUGACAGCCAUGGAGACAACGGCGGGAAAAUUGAGCAAGGGACUUCGAGGAAGAUCGGAGAGAAACAAAUAUGCUGUUCGUUCAUCCUGAUCCCUCUGGCUGGUGGUCUGGCACACGGAUGUUUUACAAUGAGCGCAUACUGGGAUGAGUUGCAGACAUUGAGACAGCGUGUGAUGUUGCUUCCUCCAAACACGUCGAAUUUCGCGUUGGAGUCUCAAGAUGGAGCCAUCUUUAUCUCCCUCCAUCGUACAUGUGAUUUAGAGUGGAACUUGUUUUCUUCUUAACUUUUCAUUGUGUCCAUGCAGGGGCUAGGGUGUUACAUCAUUGGACGUCCGAUACGUAGUGGUCCCAGCAGACAACUGAAGGAAUUUCGGAUAUAAUAUUCAGCAGGUGGUUUUAAAAAAAUCAGAGACGAGUGAUUCAGGUAUAGGAAGUCAAAUGUAUUACUUCUAGGAUUUCAAUCACAUGAAACAAAUGAAAAACAGUUGUAGUCUAUACAUUGUACAUAUUAAUUGUUUUCUCUAUUCAGGGACGUUCAAUAUUGCAACCAGGAGAUUGCUGGGCUUUUGCAGGUGAACGAGGGCACAUGCUCUCCCUGUCCCACCCAGUGUCCAUCACC